AUCGAACGCUGGCGGCGGGCCUAACACAUGCAAGUCGAGCGAGCGGCGGACGGUUGAGUAAUGUAUGGGGACUGCCCGAUAGAGGGGGAUAACUCCUGGAAACGGUGGCUAAUACCGCAUUCUGUCGGAUUACCGAUAUGGGAUUAGCUCGUAGGUAAGGUAAUGGCUUACCUUGGCGACGAUCCCUAGCUGGUCUGAGAGGAUGAUCAGCCACACUGGGACUGAGACACGGCCCAGACUCCUACGGAGGCAGCAGUGGGGAAUAUUGCACAAUGGGCGCAAGCCUGAUGCAGCCAUGCCGCGUGUAUGAAGAAGGCCCUAGGGUUGUAAAGUACUUUCAGUCGGGAGGCGUUACCGACAGAAGAAGCAACGGCUAACUCCGUGCCAGCAGCCGCGGUAAUUC
rnacentral:rRNA from 1 species